AUUGAACGCUGGCGGCAGGCCUAACACAUGCAAGUCGAACGAGUGGCGGACGGGUGAGUAAUGUCUGGGAAACUGCCUGAUGGAGGGGGAUAACUACUGGAAACGGUAGCUAAUACCGCAUACCAUCAGAUGUUCCCAGAUGGGAUUAGCUAGUUGGUGGGGUAACGGCUCACCAAGGCGACGAUCCCUAGCUGGUCUGAGAGGAUGACCAGCCCACGUGGAAGUGGGACACGGGCCAGAUGUCUACGGGAGGCCGCAGUGGGGAAUAGUGCACAAUGGGCGCGAGCCUGAUGCAGCCAUGCCGCGUGUAGGAAGAAGGCCUUCGGGUUGUAAAGUACUUUCAGCGGGGAGGCGUUACCCGCAGAAGAAGCACCGGCUAACUCCGUGCCAGCCGCCGCGGUAAUUC
rnacentral:rRNA from 1 species